rnacentral:lncRNA from 1 species
ACGCAGAGCAUGUUAGUUAAAGCAGAUUCGACAAAAAAAAAUAAUAAAAAAAAAUCGAAAUAUUAUUUAAUUUUUGGCCUUAAGCUCGGGAGAAUAUUACGUAGCACAGUGUGGAGAUUGUUAGGCGAUGGCCAAGAGGUUACUCGAAUGUCCGCCUGCGCUUGGCAUUCAUGCUUUAUUCAUGGGAGAUAGUGGACGGGGUCGGACCACCCGCUCGACUACCGCCAUCCAUCACGCCACUAACUAUAAGCGACUGUCAGUCGACGACGGCGGUCGAUAGUUUUCCCCUCUAUUUUCCCCGUUUUAAUUACGGAUACCUCCUCCGUCGGAAGGACCCCCUACCAUGGAGGCGAUUACUGUCCGUUAGAAAAGGCCACCCACCCCAAGACGGGUACGGAACCUCCAUCCAUCUCUGGC